GAUUUGCUGCGGCGUUGGUGACUGCCAACAAUGUUUUAUGAUCUAUGUUUUUUGAAUCUGGGAGUCUAACAAGGCUGAUGGCAGUAGACCGAGCUUGUACUCGGAAACUUUAUAUCCGCCACUUUGACACCCACCUGGUAUUACACCAGGUCAAAAGCUGAGGUAAGACGGCGCUGCGGUAUCCUA
rnacentral:other from 2 species